AAAACCUAUAUAUAGAUUAUCUACAUAUUAGAGUUCAAUGCAGAAAACUGCUUACAAUCUUUGUCCAUGUUAAAACUCAGAUGAAAACUUACAAUAAAACAACACGAAAAAGGAGCAGGGAGAAAGUAAGAGUUGUAUCAGUCUAAUUGAAUCAUCUGAAGUUUUUUGAGUCUUAUUAAUGGACCACAGUCUUUUGAUGUCUCAGUCUUUCUAUUAGUCUUGCCACACUUCCUAAAUGUGUAUUUGAAGUAGGUUCUGUUUAUAAAUACAAGUCUUUAGUUAAUCUAUAUUUAAUUGAACAUUUAACUUAAACUUUAAACUUGAUAU